rnacentral:rRNA from 1 species
UACGUAGGUGGCAAGCGUUGUCCGGAUUUACUGGGUGUAAAGGGCGUGUAGGCGGGUGUUUAAGUCAGUGGUGAAAUACCGAAGCUCAACUUCGGGGCUGCCAUUGAAACUGGGCAUCUUGAGUGCAGGAGAGGAAAGCGGAAUUCCUAGUGUAGCGGUGAAAUGCGUAGAUAUUAGGAGGAACACCAGUGGCGAAGGCGGCUUUCUGGACUGUAACUGACGCUGAGGCGCGAAAGCGUGGGGAGCAAAC